AGCAAAUGUCGCUUCCCAGAAGGAGGCUUUAAGAGUGAGCGUGAGUUCUACUUCCCAGCUGCCGUUACCACAGAAACAGACGUUGUCAAGGGGCCUGUGUCUCCCGGGCUGCCUGGUGACUAAGAGCCCCUUCACCGCCACUGCAGACGCGGAGUUUGGAUCAGAUACAAACUUUUAACCUUUUAAGCCACCAGAGUCUGGAGGUGCAUCCUAACAUGGCGGGGGGCGGGGUCACCAAGACGACGUGACCCCCAGGGGACCCCGGAGCUGGACUCCCGCAAUCGGAGGCCCCGCCCCGCUCCCCGCUCCUGGGAACGCGCAUUCCGCGGCCUCCGCUCUCCCGGAAGCGGCUCCAAGGACACGGCCCUGAGGCGAGCCUGCGGUGUGGACCAUCCGCGCACAACCCACGACCGAAUCCAGUUAAGGCCUCUAGAUAAGCUUCCAGGUCUACUCACCCCGCGGCCACCUGCAUACGACAGAUCAGUUCUGCCCUGGAGAGAUUUCGCAACUCUAGACUACCGUAUGGUCUUAUGGUGGGCAAUUAUUAGAAAUGAGCAACAUCAUGAAAAAUCAGUUAUUUCACUGAAUCUGGCCAGCAAUUACAAGGACAUUCCAAGUGGCAGGAGCCGUUUGCAAGAGAAGCUGGAGAAAUGAGUCCAACUUUCAUCUCCAGGUCAAAGUAUUUGUUUUCAGGAGUCUUUUCUGGAAAUUAUGUAUUUUUCCUCUGUGUUUUUGGUGUGCCAGGAUAUGAAGCUUCAGCCACUCACUCUUGAAAGACUUCUUUACUUAACAGGUUCCAAUCAUCUUGGUCCCAAGGACUAUUUAUGCCAUAUGCAUCUUCUUCAAUAUCUAUUAUGUUUAGCUUUAUCUCCAGCAAGCCACACUCCUGAAGCUGCAACUGUGUGGUAGGGCAGCAAUGGAAACAAGGGAGAUACUCAAAGGGAGGAGAAUCCUUCUCUCUAAUCAGAGAAACUGUGAAGGACCAAGGAGGAAAAUCUUCAUUUUUACCUUCCAUCUUCCUGCCAUUUGCAUCUGGAAGCAGAAGCAGGCACAGGACAUAUAUUCAGUUUCACAGAAGAUCAAUAGAGAAGCUGUCUUGGGACAAUGUAAAAAUCAAUGAAACCUCUCUAGAGUUUGAGGAGGAGCCCCUGAAUUCAGGCAAGCGGCCAGAGCCCAAGAUGACCCAGUGCAAGGAAAGGAGAUGGAGAGGAUGUGUCGUCAACAUCUGAAUCCACGACUGGGGAUCCCUGGGUGGCUCAGCGGUUUGGCGCCUGCCUUUGGCCCAGGGCACAAUCCUGGGGUCCCAGGAUCGAGGCCCGCAUCGGGCUCCCUGCAUGGAGCCUGUUUCUCCCUCCUCCUGUGUCUCUGUCUCUCUCUCUCUCUCUCUAUCCUAAAUAAAUAAAUCUUAAAAAAAAAAAAAAAAAAAAAAAAACACCUGAAUACACGAGAGCUGGAGUAAAUUAGCUCUACUUUAGUACACCUCUUUCCAACAACUUCAGCAGGAACACAUUUUGUUAAUCCUCAAAAGCUAAAACAGAGAUUAUUAACUUUCAUAGUUUGUUUGAAUCACUCAAUUUUCAUACCACGGGAGUCCUGUCCUCGUUGCUGUACUUACCAGCCCUUUGCUGAUUAUGAAGAAAAAAAAAUUGUGAUUUAUCUUUGACUACCACAAAGUUUUGAAAAAUAUUUUCACAAUGAAACUCUCUGGUACUGUCCUAACGUAAAUUAUUUUGUGUACUCAAAACCAAUUACUAUAUCAGUUGUAGUUGAGUCUGAUCACUUCUACACUGAUUUUAUUAUUAGCCCUGGCCCAUAUGCCCUAGUGAACAUAGAUUAGCAGUUUACAAAGUAGGUAUAGAAUAGAAAACAAAUUAUUUCCUCAGUAUUAACUGAAAAUAAUGCUAGCUGUCCUUCCUUCAGAAAAAGGUAUCAAAAAGGUAUCCUUUCUUUAAAAUAUUAUAUCAGGGACGCCUGGGUAGCUCAGAGGUUGAGCACCCGUCUGCAUUCGGCUCAGGGCGUGAUCCCAGGGUCCUGGGAUCCAGUCCCACAUCAG